AUACGUAGGGUGCAAGCGUUAAUCGGAAUUACUGGGCGUAAAGCGUGCGCAGGCGGUUUUGUAAGACAGAGGUGAAAUCCCCGGGCUCAACCUGGGAACUGCCUUUGAGACUGCAAGGCUAGAGUACGGCAGAGGGGGGUGGAAUUCCGCGUGUAGCAGUGAAAUGCGUAGAUAUGCGGAGGAACACCGAUGGCGAAGGCAAUCCCCUGGGCCUGUACUGACGCUCAUGCACGAAAGCGUGGGGAGCAAACAGGAUUAGAUACCCUGGUAGUCCACGCCCUAAACGAUGUCAACUGGUUGUUGGGUCUUCAUUGACUCAGUAACGAAGCUAACGCGUGAAGUUGACCGCCUGGGGAGUACGGCCGCAAGGUUGAAACUCAAAUGAAUUGGCGGGG
rnacentral:rRNA from 1 species